AUGUCCACAUUCUUUCGUAGAAAAUCGACGAGAUGCGCCCGCACCUCUUCCCCCAGGUUGGAGCCAAUCUUCACCACAUGCUCCACAUUCCCGUCGUUCAAAGGGAUCGAAACCAGAUCUUCGAUUGGGCCGCCCCUCUCCUCAGUGAGGUCAUCGCGGGCAUCCAGCCCAUCAACUGGGCAGAGGUCGGAUUGGUCACUUCUUUGCAAGGCUAUGUUAUAGCAGUGUCUGGCCAGGGCCUGAUCUCCCC
rnacentral:lncRNA from 1 species